AUGUGCCUACGGGGGGCAGCAGUGGGGAAUAUUGCACAAUGGGGGAAACCCUGAUGCAGCGACGCCGCGUGAAGGAAGAAGUAUUUCGGUAUGUAAACUUCUAUCAGCAGGGAAGAAAAUGACGGUACCUGACUAAGAAGCCCCGGCUAACUACGUGCCAGCAGCCGCGGUAAUACGUAGGGGGCAAGCGUUAUCCGGAUUUACUGGGUGUAAAGGGAGCGCAGGCGGGACUGCAAGUUGGAUGUGAAAUACCGCAGCUUAACUGCGGAGCUGCAUCCAAAACUGUAGUUCUUGAGUGGAGUAGG
rnacentral:rRNA from 1 species